rnacentral:misc_RNA from 1 species
GCAAACUUGGUCAUUUAGAGGAAGUAAAAGUCGUAACAAGGUUUCCGUAGGUGAACCUGCGGAAGGAUCAUUAUUGUAAUAAAAUUUGGUUGGGUUGCUGCUGGUUCUUUGGAACAUGUGCACUCCUGACACCAAUUUUAACUUCCUUGUGCACCAUUUGAUAGACUUGGAUGAUCUUUCGAGAAUGUUCGGUUUUGAGAAUAACAGCUUUCAUUUAGCUUUUUUUUCUCAACACAUCCAGUCUAUUUCUUUGUUAUCUAUUCUUUUUAAAACACAACAAAUAACUAUGUAUUUAAUACAACUUUCAACAACGGAUCUCUUGGCUCUCGCAUCGAUGAAGAACGCAGC